AGUGAACGCUGGCGGUAGGCCUAACACAUGCAAGUCGAACGGCAGCACAGUAAGAGCUUGCUCUUACGGGUGGCGAGUGGCGGACGGGUGAGGAAUACAUCGGAAUCUACUUUUUCGUGGGGGAUAACGUAGGGAAACUUACGCUAAUACCGCAUACGACCUACGGGUGAAAGCAGGGGAUCUUCGGACCUUGCGCGAUUGAAUGAGCCGAUGUCGGAUUAGCUAGUUGGCGGGGUAAAGGCCCACCAAGGCGACGAUCCGUAGCUGGUCUGAGAGGAUGAUCAGCCACACUGGAACUGAGACGCGGUCCAGACUCCUACGGGAGGCAGCAGUGGGGAAUAUUGGACAAUGGGCGCAAGCCUGAUCCAGCCAUACCGCGUGGGUGAAGAAGGCCUUCGGGUUGUAAAGCCCUUUUGUUGGGAAAGAAAAGCAGCAGGUUAAUACCCCGCUGUCCUGACGGUACCCAAAGAAUAAGCACCGGCUAACUUCGUG
rnacentral:rRNA from 1 species